UAAAUUAGAGACGGACGUAAACACAUGCAUAUUAUAGGGCUCUAUUCAGUUUGACUGUGAAAAAAACCCCAUAAUUUUUAAUUAACUUUAGCAAUAUAUACACACUUUGAUAAAAUACAUGUAUAAAAAUGAUAUGCCCUAGCUUGAAGGUAUGUAUUCACACAAAUUUAUUUCAUUUUAAUAAUUAAUAAUAAAUUUAUUUUUAGAUGUACCAAUACAGUUCGAACUAUGAAAAUAAAGAUGAAAAGAUACAUUGAGAAUUCAUUUUCAGUAAAAAGCAGAACUGUGACACAGGAGCAUCACCUGUGAAAGGUUACAAAUGAUACAAAUGACACCAAUAAAGGAUAUAUGAGCAACUGUUAUAUACCAGAAACAGGAGGCAGUUACAAAAUUAAUAAACAAAGACAGAAAACUUGCAAGUGAUCCUGCAUGAGAACUGAACUCCAGACAGUAUCGUUACCAAACAGUAUUCUUUUGGAGGGAAUUCUGUUUAAAGAAAUUGGAGGUCAGAAGUUUUGAAGUUUGUGAUGGGAAAAAGUCGAAGAUGAUUAUUUCAAGUGUCACUUUUUAAACCCACUUUCUUCACUGGACAGCCAUAACACCACAUACAGCAAAACUCGUUUAGUACAAACACGGAUAUUGUGAAUUUACGGAUAAAGCGAAGUCAUCUUGGAUCCCCAACUAUAUAAAUUUAAAACAUUCCUUAUACAGAUGUAAUAAAUAACAGAUAUAGCAAAGCAAUUUCGA